CUAGCUAGCAGUUUUAGAAGGCUGAACCCCAGAAUCCAGAAACAAGAACCGAGCAGGGACGGAGAAAAAAGAAGAAUCCAAAUGGGAAAUGAGAUAAGGCCUCUUCAUUUUCCACUGUGAAGGAUCUACAUGGACUUGGUCUGGAUAGCCUUUCCUGUUUUGAUGAGCCAGUCGGGUCUAGAGGAAAAACCCUAUAUGAGCCCCAGGGUCGUAGCAAUACUGUCUGGUUUUUGCCCCUCAACCUUGCUGGCCAUGUUAACUAUCUUGCUCAGUUUGGUUUUUUU